UACCAGCUCUCCGAGUGGUGUGGAUGUUUAUUGGGCCUAAAGCAUCCGUAGCUGGCUGGGCAAGUCCCCUGUUAAAUCCACCGAUUUAAUCGUUGGUGUGCGGGGGAUACUGUUCGGCUAGGGGACGGGAGAGGCCGACGGUAUUUUCGGGGUAUGGGUGAAAUCCUAUAAUCCCGGGAAGACCACCAGUGGCGAAGGCUGUCGGCUAGAACGCGCCCGACGGUGAGGGAUGAAAGCUGGGGGAGCGAACCGGAUUAGAUACCCGGGUAGUCCCAGCUGUAAACGAUGCAGGCUAGGUGUUUGGGCGGCCACGUGCCGCUCUAGUGCCGCAGAGAAGUCGUUAAGCCUGCCGCCUGGGGAGUACGGCCGCAAGGCUGAAACUUAAAGGAAUUGGCGGGGGAGCACCACAAGGCGUGAAGCUUGCGGUUC
rnacentral:rRNA from 1 species